rnacentral:rRNA from 1 species
GACGAACGCUGGCGGCGUGCCUAAUACAUGCAAGUUGAGCGCUGAAGGUUGGUACUUGUACCAACUGGAUGAGCAGCGAACGGGUGAGUAACGCGUGGGGAAUCUGCCUUUGAGCGGGGGACAACAUUUGGAAACGAAUGCUAAUACCGCAUAAAAACUUUAAACACAAGUUUUAAGUUUGAAAGAUGCAAUUGCAUCACUCAAGGAUGAUCCCGCGUUGUAUUAGCUAGUUGGUGAGGUAAAGGCUCACCAAGGCGAUGAUACAUAGCCGACCUGAGAGGGUGAUCGGCCACAUUGGGACUGAGACACGGCCCAAACUCCUACGGGAGGCAGCAGUAGGGAAUCUUCGGCAAUGGACGAAAGUCUGACCGAGCAACGCCGCGUGAGUGAAGAAGGUUUUCGGAUCGUAAAAAUCUGUUGGUAGAGAAGAACGUUGGUGAGAGUGGAAAGCUCAUCAAGUGACGGUAACUACCCAGAAAGGGACGGCUAACUACGUG